rnacentral:lncRNA from 1 species
UUAAAACCCUGGGUGGCCACAUAAACCAUUGUUAAACACCACCAUCAAACAACAUGUCACACACCUUUUCCAUCUUCUCCCUCUGUUUCUCUAAAAUCGUUGGUUGAUCAUCCUCUCACCCAUCUUCACCACAUCGAACCUACCUAAAUCGAAGCCAAUCAAUUAGUUCUCCCAAAAUCGGAAGAUGAAAAUAGAUUUGGAUUUAUACUGAGAACAAAUCUAACUUUGUAGAGUCUAAAGGAAUUGAAAGAGAUGGAGCAAAUAACUCCUUGAGUCAACACUAUUACUGCUAAAACUCCCAAAUGUCUGCAACAAUUACUCAAUGGAACCGUAAGCUUUGAAGGACGUUUUCUCUUUGCUUGAGUAAGUUUUCCUUUUUAUCAUGUAAUUUAUUCUUAAACAUACAGUUUAACACUUCUGAUAUUGAAUUUAGUGUAAAACUUGGGCAAAAUCUAUAGUUAGAAGAACUAAUUGUUCGCAUGGGAAGUAAUCUUUUACAUCUCUCAAUAAAGUAUCUUUCAUGGAUAGUUUAUAUGUAAUUGCUUUUAUUCGUUCAUUCACUGAUAUGUAUCUAUUUUGUGGAUUUUUUUCUUUUUCUUUUUGUGAUGAAUUAUGUGCUUCUGUUCGUCUGUUUUAAAUUAAUGUGUAUAUAAAAGUUAUGAUGAUAUUAGUUAGUAAUAUUCAUUGAUUUUCUUUAUUCACAAUUUGAUGAAAUUAGUUAAUAAUCUUUCUUUAUUCACAAUUUGAUGAAAUUAGUUAAUAAUCUUCACUUAUUUUAUUUAUGAACAAUUUGGCAAUUCGUAAUUUAUAUGUGAUGAAUGAUCAAUAGUGUAAUUUGGAAUUUCUAUAUUGUUUAUAUAUGUAGAAAUUAUAAAACCGAUUAUCUAGAGCUAAAGUUUAUAAUACUUUUUUCCUUUAUAUAUAUGAACAAUUUUUAAUACCUUUUAUGUUUAUACGACAACCAUUAUUGGCAUUGAUCACUGUUAUAUUUUCCAUUGACGAUUGACAAUUAAGUUUAUAAAGUUUGAAGUUUAUAUUCAGGUGAUAAUCAGUGGUUAAUUAUUCGUAUAGGUAUAAUUUAGCUUUCUAAUCGUUUUUUCAUUGUAGUCUUGGCAAAAAAAAUAUAUAAUGCAGGUUGAACUUCUGUAAAAUAUUGGAUUUCAACUAGAAUUUGUUUCGCAUUUUUACGGAAUAUGAAAUCAAUAAUACGAAAUCAAAAACACAUGUUUUAUGACUCAUAGUUAUUCAUCAUCUUUUAGAUUGUUUGACCUUUUAUUAUAAUUUUUUUCAAACCUUUAUACAAGAUGUUCAGUAUAGUUUAUCUUUCAAAAUAAUAGGUAAUUAAAUUGCUACCACUUGCUCAUUAAGUAAAAUGAUUUUCAUGGAUGAUAUGCACUAUAUAUCAAUUUAUGACAGAACCAAUGCUACCUUUUUUUUCUUUUUUUUCUAAAUUUGAGCAUAUGGUCGGUUCUUCUUUUGUUUUUUUUUUCGUCAAAGAUCAAUUCCUACAGUAAUAUAAUUGGACUUUGAUCCGCUGGAUCCAUUUUAAAAUAUAAUAGUCAAAAUGGGAUGUCAUCUCAUGGACCUCAAAUGAUUAUGUAGUUAGUUUCACACCAAAUUCAAUAUUUAAUUUGUUCUUCUCAUAAACAUUAUGUAGUUUUAAUUUAGCUUUUUUAAAUCGUUUCACCUGGUGGAUCUUUCUUUUCAGCUUUGAUUAUCUAUUAUAUAUAAGUUAAAUAAUAGGUGUUUGUGGAAACGUCUAGAAGAAAAAUUGACCAUGUGGUAUGAGAAACAUCAAAAAAUAUGGUCCCAAAAAUUUCGUUUUAUAAUAGGUAAAAAUAUUGUUUUCAAACAUCAUUCGUACAUCUCAUAAAAACAAUGUAUCCAAUGUAUCAAAAUCAGAGUAAAUAUAAAACGCGGAAUCUCUGUGGUAUGUGCGAUGCGGUCUGCCCGAGCUCUUCCCCUUGGAACCGGAAGUACCUGACACAUAAACAGAAAACCGUAAGCACAAAGCUUAGUAAAUUUCCCCAAGAUACCAUAUACCAUCAUAUCACAUAACGGGCCCUGCCCAUACUCAUAAAACGUGCCCCGCCCAAUGAGAUAUAGGCCUCGCCCACAUUCGCAAUACGGACCCCGCCGAAAGAGAUACAUGCCCUGCCCACACUCGCAAUACGGUCCCUGCCUAAUAAGCAUACAUAUAAGCACAUACAAUUAUUACACAGUCAACGAGUAUAUCGACAUAAUCAACAAGGGUCGGCAUUGGUGCCUUAGAUCCGCUAAACCUGGUGAGGAAAACUCACCUCAAAUAUGGAAUGAUAGCUGAACAGAUCCCGACUCCAAAUAUCAACUCUAAUCAACCCCUAAACAGAAAAGAUUUCCUUAAAUACAACUCAAAAUGCCCAAAAGCCCCUUAUAGGUCAACCUUGGUCAAAGUGUAAGUCAACGGCCCGAGUUGACCCAACUCGCCGAGUUGUCCUUCAACUCGCCGAGUUUCACCAUUAGUCUGCAAAGUCGGGAAGAAACUGAUCCAACUCGUCGAGUUCAUUUGUAAACUCAUCGAGUUCGCCAGAAAUCCAACAUCUUAAUUCAUUAAGUCGACCUUACCGAAACUAAGAGCUUCACAACUCAGAUCUAUAACUGAAAUAGCCUCAAGAAGGGUAAAGUUUCCAACUUUACACCUAAGAACCACCAAAAUGGGUUCAAAACCCAAACCCUAGGAUUAAAAGGGUGAUGGCUUAAUCAUUAAGCACUUAAUCACCAAAUGCAUAACCCCAAACUACAGAUCUAACCCUAAAACCUGAAAGGCUAUGUAAAGUUUCCAACUUUACACUCAUGCAUGACUAGCAGAGGCUCAAAUGCUCAAAAGAGGCCGAAAUAAGGACUUAAUGAAAGCAUGAAGCCCUUAAGACCAUAAAGUUGGCACCUUAAUGCCAAAAGAGCUCAUCAACAUCUUAGAUCUGAAAGGAUAACAUUUGGGAUGUCCUACACCCCCAUCAUCCACCUAUAACAUCCCAUCUUUCAAGUGACUUCAAAAUCAACCCUUGGAUUUUAAUUACGUCAUUUUUGGUCCUUGGUUUGGAAAGAAGUGACAAAGGGAGGACCUAGUGGCAAAAUGGUGAUGUUGGGAACUUGAGUAGUAUGUUGGGCGUAUAUGUGAGUACGCUAAGUGUCUUAGGGCGUGCCCUAGUACGCUGGUUGUACACAUAUGUAUGUUGGGCGUACAAGUGCCAGGGUGAAACCCUAACUUUUAGGGUUUGUUGAGUAUUUAAGCAUCUUAUGGAUCGUUUCCUCUCAUCUUUUCUAGCCUCCAAGUCUUUGAACCGUUCUUAGCAAGCCCUAGUACAUAAGAGAGAGUUUUGGAGCCUAAAGUGUGUUGUUGGUGUGAGUGAAUGAGAAGAAAGAGCAUCAAGGAGUCAAGGAAUGAAUCAAGCUUGUAGAUAUGGGGUUAUCACCAUCUUGGAAAGCUUUAGAAGGUAUAAAGCUUCUACCUUUAUGCUUGAUUGUGUAGAUUUUGGUUUUAUUACUUUUUAGCAUUCUUCUUGUCCCAAGAGUCCCAAUAUUGUGCAUGCUUUGUUUUGGGCAAGUUAAGUUGUUCUUUCAGACCCAAGGAUGGGGCCUAAGGCAUAAAAAUGAGGUCCCUUGAGCUAGUUUGGUCCCUAGUUCUUUGUAGGAGGUCUUAAUGGAUUAAGACCAUGUAUUAAGCCCUUUUUGGUCGAACAAAGUCUUAAAGUUUGAGACUUUAUGGUUAUAGAGUGUUAUUGAAUCAUGAAUUUGAAGUUUGAGCUCAAGUGCUUAAUCCAUUAAGCACUUAUGGAAGUUAUAAGACAUGCGAGGGUACGCCUCACGUAAGUUGUUGUACGCCUUACGUUCGGAGUCAAACCCCCAUAAUGGGUCAAUGCGAGGUGAGGUACGCCCAACGUACCGAAGGGUACUCCCCACGUACGCCUCCUGUUGGGCUUCGGACUGUGGGCUUCUAGUAUUGGGCCAUCUGUUGGACUUUGAUACUUAGGACCUAAAGGUUUAUCAGGAUGGGUGUGUCUUGGGCCAAGUAGAGGAUCGGACCUUUGGAUAAGGCCCAAUAAGGAGUUGGGACCAAUUUGGAAAAUUAGGCCAAGUGUGGGCUUGAAGUGGUUUGGGCCUUUGGAUCAAGAUUUGGGUUUCGCUUGCAUUGGUUUGUGAUGGACCAUCUGGGAUUUUAUGGUUUGGGCUUUUAGCUUGUUGGAUCUUCUUGAGUGAAGGCCAUAAGGCCUAAUUUGGAAAAUUGGGCCAUAAUUGGACUUAAGGAGUUUAUUUUGAUAUUGGACCUUUUGUCAUCUAGUUUGGGCCUUGGCUUUGGGCCAAGCUUGAGGAAUAGUAAAAAGGUAUUUUACCCUGAUUUGGACUCAUUGUAUGAGUUAGCAACUAGAUAUUGAUGAUUGUCAUUUUGGUAUCUGCUAGCGGAUCUGCAGUUAGAGACUAUUCACAUAAUCAUCUAUUAUUGUGGUGCUCUCUCGAUGAUGAUGGUUCAGAAUCUGGCAGUCAGCGGUCAGGGAUCGUCUGUGUGUUUUGGAAGCGCGAUGGGAGUUUUUCUCACAGUACUAACAGGGUCCAAGGCACCAAUGUCAGCCAUUUGGAUUGUUAUCUUGGUUUAUCGUAUGCUUGUAUGUUGUGGUGAUGUGUUAGGUCGGUAUCCUUCUGACAGGAUGAUGCUAUGCUUAGUGAUAUGUUAGAUAUGCCUUAGUAUGGUUGGGUUGAGACUGUAUUGCUUUGUACUGCCAGUCAACAAACCCGAAAAUGUUUAUGUUGGUACAUUAUAUGUAUGCUUAUCUGUUAUAUGUCGACAUGUCUUGUGUGUGUGGUUGGGUCGAGGCGGACCUACUUUGUGCUGAAGGCCAACAUACCUAGGGCGGCCCGGAUAGACUGAAGGCCCAUUGGGGCGUACCAGUCAGGCCGAAGGCCCGUAGAACGGUCCAGACAGGAUGAAGUCCUAGCAAGGCGGACUAGACGUGUUGAAGGUUCUGAGAGCAGCCCAGACAGGUUGAAGGCCCGGUAAGGUGGUCCAGAUAUGCUGAAGGAUUUGAUAGUGGUCCAGAUAGGUUGAAGGCCCGGUGAGGCGGUCCAGUCAUGCUGAAGACUCUAUAUGCAUGUUGUUAUUUGUAUGUGUGCUACUAUUUGUGUGUUCGUACUUUGGGGGAACUCACUAAGCUUUUUGCUUACGGUUUCAGUUUAUUGUUUCAGGUGCUUCAAAUGUUUUAACAAGGCGAAGGCGUGACCAUACACAUCCUCGCGUUUUGGACUUAUAGUUUCUGGGAAACUCUGAUGAUGUGCUUGUUUUGAAAACUACGUAUAAAUGAUUUCGGUUUUAAAUAAAUGUUUUGGAAACCACGGUUUUGUAAACACUUCUAUAGAAAAAGGAUUGUUUUGGAAAGUUUAAAUUUUAUCGACCCUUGGUUUGAGUGAAUUGGAGGAACACUCGUGUGAAUCCAGUCUCAAACCAAGGAAAAAGGGUUCUCAAAAAAAAUUUCAAAUGGUUUUCAAAAUAAUCAAAGAGGAUGCGAUGUGUGCGAUCAGUCGGAGCCAGUAAGUAGACCCCAAUUAUCACACAAUUAUUUGAGCUUAUGAUAUGUUAGAACAGCAUGCCAGCAAUAGGCUAGGGAUCUUCAGGAAUUGCAUGGUAGAAUUUCCUGAUUAUGUGAUGCCUUAGUUCAUUUAGAGUUUUCUUGUUUGGAUUAUCUAUGACUCUUUCGCGUGUGAAUUGGCUACUGAGUGGAUACACUAAGUCACAUGUCGCAUGGUUUAAAGUAUCUUAGGCUAAGAGGUUUGGUCCUGUUGCGCAACUCUCGUCUGAGUCCAACCGUUGUGGGAUUGAAUCUUUUAGCCUAAGAUUGUUUAAAUGGUGGGGUAUGUGAUUGUAUUCAUGUGAUAGUUAUAUAGCACCAAUGGAUUAUCUUGUGGCAAGUCUGGUAUGGAUGAGUCAUAUGGGGUCAGCCGGCCAGUAGCGCUAUUGGAUAAGGUAGCGGUGAUUUUCCCUAGAUUAGGCGCGACUCACAGUAAGUCGGCAUGAGGAAGGAUUAGCCACUCUUGAGAGAGUGAGGGCAUGGCGAAGAUGCGUGUGAGAUGUUGGGAGCCCGAGAUCGAGGAUUUCAUAGGAUGAUAUGCCUGAUUCUAUUGUAUCUUAGUGUUAGUCGACUUCUCUGCUCGAAUGUUGCUUACUUUGUGCUUUGUGGGACCCAUGUUGAUGAUAGCUAACCAUCAAAUGAUUACAUUAAAAUUACAUGCUAUGAGGGUAAAAUAAUCUUAGGAUAAAGGACUUGGACCUAUUGCAAAGCUCUCGUCUGAGUCCAACGGUUGUAGGGCUGGGUCCUUUAGCCGAAGGAUUAUUUAAGCCUGGUUGCAUUUAAUUGUAUUCGUGAAGUGGUUAGUUGGCAUUGGUAGGGGUUCUUCAGCAGCUGAUGGCAGGGGAGGUGUGGUGAGUCCUAGGAUCGCCUAGGUAGUAUUUAGUGAGAUUGUUUCGCCAAGGAGCAGGUUUCAGGAGUAUUUUGUGACUAGGACUUAGAGGACCCGAGAUGAUUCUUGAGGAAAGUGUGGAUAGGUGUGGAAGGUAGUAUUAGACCCGUACUAAUGGAAUCCAUACUCGAAUCAAGGAAGGUUUCGGGGAUUCUAAGAGCUGGUCAGGAAAGAUAGCAUGGUUGGAUACUAUGGAUCGCGACAGUGGUUCUGUUCCUGUCAAUCUAUUGGUCGUGGCAGCUCGGGCAUGAGGAUGGACCUGGUAUGUGUUUUGAGCCCGUUGGAAUUAUGGAUUCAGGUUGUUUUGUGCAUACCUAGGGAGGUUUUGGUUUAAGGCCUCAAGGGUUUUGCUCGAGGUCAGGUCAUACGAGUCGUGCGACUCAGGAAGGGAGCGAUGAUUAUGAUCGACUUGAGUUUUACAGUUAGAAGUAGGAUGGUUGAUUUAUGGAUUGGAAUUUCGUUAUCUAUGGCAAGGGUUGUACCCUUUUAGUUUUCCGAGUUUGAAGGAGAGAGCGGGCUUGUGACCCCAGUGUAAGGUUGUAUCUCCAGCUCGGGGUCAGUUGAUCGCAGUAGUUGGCGGCAGUAUUUCAGCGCUGGUGAGCGCAGGUGGAAUGAUGUGACAUGAGUAUAUUGUGAGGUAAGUAAGAGCCCUUAAUCUUGGGAGACGAGAACGUUGGCAUCAGAUUCUUGUUGAGAUUGCAAGCCGGAAAGGGAAUCCUGUUGAUUAGUUCAUGUCACCUGGGAUCAAAGGGGAGUCUUCCGGCGUACUCUCAGGUUGGUCAGGGUAACUAAGGAGGAGGUGGUCAUGAUUUCUUCGGAUGCUUUGAGGGUAUGUCAUCCCCUGUAUUCUUUAGGGUUGUAUUGGGAAUUGUAUUAUGUUGGAAUUAUGUUGGAUUGGGUAAGUUAUACCCCGGAUUGACUUUCUUCAAUUUUUGGGUUAUUGGGGGUUGUUAUAUGCCAUGUUGCGUGCCGGAAGUCUUCAGCUGAAAUUUAAGUUUCUCUUGGGUUCCGAUUGAUCUGUAGCAGGAGGAUAAUUUUGCGUACGUUAUUCAUUCCAUGGUCAGGAAUGAUCGUACCUGGUUGAGCCGGUUUGAGUUGGGAGUUGAUUUCUAACCAUUGAUUGGUAGUUAGAACCCUAAGUGGGGGAGAAUUGGGAAAUAUUGGGUUUAGUGUUAGGCAUUGAAGGUUUUGCCAGUUGCUGUUCGGACUGUUGUUUUCAAGUUUAUUGGGAAGAUAUUGAUCGGUGAACCUCUCCAGAAGUGGGUAUGUUUAGCUCCAGGUGAGUUUGUUAUUCUCUGGUUUAGGUGCCAGAAUGUCCUUGACCAUUGGUCAUUGAUUUCGUCUUUUAGCGGGAAUUCCUCGAAGGAUUCAAGAGGCAAUAGUUAAGAGCAAGGAAUGUGUCACCCACCCUCUAGUGCAAUUUGUUUAUGUUUCCCUUGGUCCUUAGAUAAGUUCUCCAUCAGUGGUAGAGUGGAAUUUCUUAUUCAUAGCAGACUCGGGUUUGGCAACCUUUGAGAUUGUCUUGGAAGUAUUCGGGGGCUAGUAACGUGUAGGCAGGAUCCGUGCAGUCUCGAUCAAGUAUGGGAUCUUGUUUCGAUCGGUGAUAUGGACGUCUUCUGUUAUUGAUGGAGGUGGUGUUGCCUUAUCUCGGAAAAUCUUUCAGAUUGGAUGAGGUUUGGGUUUCCCCAAGAAUAGGCAUGGUUCUGUUGGGUUAUAGCCUUCGAAUUGGGUCAAGGGUUCGACCAUUAUCCUAUCCUCGGGUUGGGUGUGACCAUGGGUUCGCAAGGUUUUUCUUGGGUAGCAACUUGUUCUAUAAGCGAAUCGUACAUGGUAGGGUUGCAGCAUAGUGGUGCGCAUUCAGUGUUGUGUGGGACGGUGAUUAGGUACCCUCAAGGCAUUGAAAGGAGGAGAGUAUCUUUAGGAUUCAUAAGGUUGGGCAAGCAGUGUAAUACCGACACAGUCGGUAUGAGAUAAGGAGCAUUCUAGUCAUGGGCUGUGGGCCUAAUGGCCAGGAUUAUUCAUUUAAUCUAUUUAUGAUACUCUCUGUAGAGACGUGUUCAUGGGUAUCGGAGAACCCAUAAUCAGUUGGUUUGGAUAGGGAACGGUCAAGGGCCAUUGGGAGUGCCAGUUGGGUAUCAAAAUGAAUUUGUGGAAUGUUUGUUCGCAAGUUGUUGUUAGGGAUUGGAUGAAAUGCGGAAGUUCUUGGUUUGAUCAUCUUUUUUAUUGGUUCGGAGGUUAGUGAUGGCAUGGCAGUGAGUCAAAGGUUAUACUAAGGUUUUGGUGUAUCAUAUGGAUUCGGAUUGGGAGAGGUUCACUAUCGACCUGUUUGAGGAUCUUUUCUACAUGAUUUGUGGUGUCUUCAGUCAGAAACUUGUGGUGGAUUCAUGGAUGGCCAUUUAGGGAUGGCUUAUAGUGGAAACUUGUGUUUGGAAUCGCAAGUGUAUCCAUGUGAGGCAUACAUUCUGGAGGUCAGGGACUUAAGCAGGGGAAUCUUUUGGUUUAUGGUGCGAGUCGCGAAUUUCAGGCGAAAGGUGUGAUGUCAUCGAUGGUGAAAUUGAGGGUUGUUGGGUUAGAAUGUCCCCGUCUUUCAGGUUAUGGGAAUCGGGUUAGAUAUUUCUCAUGAUUGUCUAUGGCGACACAUUGUAUUUGGGUGGGUUGUGGUGGUCCUGCUCUAUGCAGUAAGCUAAGAUACCCGAUGCGGACCGACCGUAAGUCGAAGGCACGGAGACUCAGGGGGGAGCGGUAGGGUUGAGGCGGUAGACCUACAAACCCUGAUAAUUUCAACCCGAUGGUUGACUAAAAUCGACAUGUUGGUAUUCUAGCCCGAGGCUGAUCGGUCUAGCUAUGGUUGUUUUUGGUUAUGAGCUAGCAGGGAUGUGUAUAUUGGUUCGGGGGUUAAAGGAAGCAUUGUCGGUCGGGACAAAGAGGUUCAUCUCCCAGUUGUCUCCCAUUAUUCAUCAUAUCAUAGGAAAAUUUUUCAUCAGAAUCAUCAUAUCAUGGAAGGAUUAUCGAAUCUCUUUUGUCCAGUAAAGAGUUGUCAGCAGCAGAGUAUGAUCAGUGGUUCUGUUUUCUAGUAGGAACCUCAGGUUCCAAGGUUGAGUAGUCCGUUUAGGGAAUUAGCGAUGGUUAGUAUGGGCGGUUUGUAGGGGAGUAAGACCAAAUUCAAGGUUCCGCAUUGUAGAUUUUCAUGUGAAGUAGGGUUGAUUGGCUGCAUGGGAUUUUGGAUUUAUUUUCUUCAGGUUGGAAUUUUCUGCGGAGUUAGUCUCCUUAGAAGAUCGUCACAUGUCAUGGUUGUGAAUGUGCCCCCUAGGAUGUCGGGUUGCUGGGGAUGGGAAGGAAUGAUUUCGAGGACGAAAUCGAAUGUAAGUGGGGAAGAGUUGUAACAUCCCAUCUGUCAAGUGACUUCAAAUUCAUCCCUUGGAUUUUAAUUAUGUCAUUUUUGGCCCUUGGUUUGGAAAGAAGUGGCAAAGGGAGGCCCUAGUGGUAAGAUGGUGAUUUUGGGAACUUGAGUAGUACGUUGGGCGUACAUGUGAGUACGCUAAGUGUACGAGUCAAGGAAUGAAUCAAGCUUUGAACCGUUCUUAGCAAACCCUAGUCCAUAAGAGAGAGUUUUGGAGCCUAAAGUGUGUUAUUGGUGUGAUUGAAUGAGAAGAAAGAGCAACAAGAAGUCAAGGAAUGAAUCAAGCUUGUAGAUCUGGGGUUAUCACCAUCUUAGGAAGCUUUAGAAGGUAUAAAGCAUCUACAUUUAUGCUUGGAGUGUGUAGAUCUUGUUUUGAUAACUUUUUGGCAUUCUUCUUGUCCCAAGAGUCCAAAUAUUGUGCAUGCUUUGUUUUGGUCAAGUUAAGUUGUCAUUUCGGACCCUAGGACAGGUCCUAAGGCAUAAAAAUGAGGUCCCUUAAGCUAGUUUAGUCCCUAUUACUCUGUAGGAGGUCUUAAUGGAUGACAUAUUUCCAAUGUGACACCUUUAGGAGAACAAUAUCUCCCACCUGGAACUCCAAAUCUAAUAGAUGCUUGUCGGCAUAGCUCUUCUGUCGACUCUGAGCUGUCUGGAGCCUGCUCUGAACUUGCUUAAUCAUCUUAGUAGUCUUGAGUACCACGUUGGUACUCCCCAUGACUCGCGGACCGACCUUUCCCCAACAGAUUGGGGUCAUGCAUUUCCUCCCGUAAAGCAUCUUAAAAGGAGGUCGAUCAUUGCUAGCAUGAUAACUGUUGCUAUACGAAAAUUAUGCUAACGGAAGAUACGUAUCCCAACUCCCACCAAAAUCCAAUACGCACGCACGGAUCAUAUCCUCAAGAGUCUGAAUCGUCCGCUCACUCUGCCCGUCGGUCUAAGGAUGAAAAGUCGUACUGAAAUGGAGACGAGUACCCAUCUCGUCAUGAAACCGCUUCCAAAAUCUGGAAGUAAAGAGAACAUCCUGGUAUGAAACUACUAACACCAGCACCCCAUGAUGUGCCACCACCUCCCGAACAUAAAUCUUGGCUAGCUUAUCUGCAAAAAUACUCUCCUGGAUCGGAAUGAAAUAUGUUCUCUUGGUCAAUCGAUCCACGAUGACCCAAAUAGAAUCCAGUUCGCGUGCAGUCCUCAGAAGCUUUGUGAUAAAAUCCAUCGUUAUGUAUUCCCAUUUCCAUAUGAGAAUCUCCAAUGGCUGCAUCUUGUCAUGAGGUCACUAAUGCUCAGCCUUGACUUUCCUACAAGUCAAGCACCGCUCCACAAACCAUGCUAUAUCCCGCUUCAUGCAGGGACAAUGAUAAUCAGGGUGAAUAUCCCUAUACAUAUUCGUCGCCUCGGGAUGAAUAGAGAAUCUCGACUUGUGAGCCUCCUCUAUCAGAACUUGGCGCACCUCGCCCCAAUACGGAACCCAAACCCUCCGAUGCAAAGUCAAGAAUCCGUGACUAUCAUAAUCGAAAGAAGCCACCUGACCCAAAAUCCACUCACACUUAUGGCGCUCUUUCUUCAUAGCCUUAACCUAUGCCUCUCGAAUCCAUUCUAGCAACGGAGUAAUCACUGUCAUCCUCAAGCAUAUACCACGAAUCGGAGUCGCGACCACCUUGCGGCUGAGAGCAUCGGCCACCACGUUGGCCUUUCCCGGGUGAUAAAUGAUCUCGCAAUCAUAAUCCUUUACCACAUACAACCAAAAAAGUUGUCUCAUAUUCAGGUUCGGUUGAUCCAUAAAAUACCUCAGGCUCAAGUUGUCCGUGUAAAUAGUACAACGAACCUCAUAGAGGUAAUGCCGCCAAAUCUUGAGGGCGCAAACCACAACGCCAACUCCAAAUCAUGCGCCGGAUAAUUUGCAUCAUGAGGCUUCAGCUGCCAUGAAGCGUGAGCGAUCACCCGAACCCGCUGCAUCAGAACUGCACCCAAACCCGUGAUCGAGGUAUCACAAUAGACCACAAAAAUCAUCGACACCCACCGGCAAGGUCAAAAUCGGCACCUAAUACAGCCGCUGUAUAAGAGUCUCGAAAGCUGCCUGCUGCUCAGGCCCCCAACAAAAUGUCACCGACUUCUUGGUCAGUCAGGUCAAUGGAACAACAAUCUUGGAGAAAUCCUAGAUAAAUCUCUGAUAAUAACUAGCCAAACCAAGAAAAUUCCGAAAUUCAGAUGGAGACCUCGGAACCUCCCAAUGCAUUACAACCUCGACCUUGGACGGAUUGACCAGAAUACCCUUGUGCUUGACGAGGUUCCCAGGAACUACACCUUGCGCAACCAGAACUCGCACUUGGAGAACUUUGCAAAAAGUCUCUCCACACUCAAUGUCUUAAGCACCUCCCACAAGUGCUCCUUGUUCUUCUCCUGCAUCUUGGAAUAGACCAAGAUAUCAUCAAUAAAGACUAUCACAGAUUGAUCUAACAUCGGUCUGCACACCCGGUUCAUCAGAUCCAUGAACGCGACAAGAGCAUUGGUGAUACCAAAUGGCAUUACCAUGAACUCAUAAUGGCCAUAGCGAGUCCAGAAAGCUUUCUUCUGCACAUCCUCGUCCAUGACUCGCAUCUGAUUAUAACCUGAUCGCAGAUCGAUCUUGGAGAACAAAGAUACACCCUGAAGUUGGCCGAAAAGAUCAUCAAUCCUCGGGAGGGGAUAACGCUUCUUCACCGUUACCUUAUUCAACUCCCGGUAGUUGAUACACAUCCGAUGGGAUCCAUCCUUCUUCUUCACAAACAGAAUACAGGCUCCCCAAGGCGAACUGCUCGUCCUGAUAAAUCCCUUGUCUAACAGCUCCUUUAGCUGUGUAGACAACUCCUGCAUCUCAAGAGGAGCCAACCGAUACGGUUCUUUUGCUAUCGGAGCUGCACCUGGAACCAAAUCAAUCCUAAACUCUACCUGCCUCUUCGGAGGUACCCCAGGCAAAUCCUCCGGGAACACAUCCGGAUACUCCCGCACAAUCAGUACAUUGUCCACAGUCGUCUUACCCUUAUCACGGGUAUCCAUGACAUAGGCGACAAAAUCCGCACAACACGGAUAAAUGUAACACUUGGUUCUGCAAGUGCUUCGUUGUUAGGGGCCGCGGUCCAAUCAUCAUUUGUCAUGAGGUUAGCGCCUUGGGAAAGGAAGGUUUUGGCCCAUUUUGGAUGUGAGUACUAGGGCACAUGAGAUCUAAGUAUUUGAUUGUGGCUUCAGAGGCCAAGGGCAUACUCGUAAAUUGACAUCUCGGUCUUCUGAAGAUUUCGUGCUCUUAUUCAGGAAGUUUUAGGUAAUGAGGAGUUGCUUUCAGCGUAGGGUUUCUCGCCACCUUUUCGUGGAUAUAAAUUUCGUCGGAAACGGACUAAGAACAAAGAAGUUAUAACACUUGAAGGUUAUUGGCAAUUUUAAUCCUUAAUGAAGAUUUGUGGCAAGGUGAUCCUAUGCAUGCGUGGAAUGCAUGCGUCUGUCUAGCUAGGUACGCCCAACGUAUAAGGGUAUAUGGUCGUAGGUGCAGAGAGGCAUACACCCAACCUACAUCCAGAGUGCCUAAACCCUAAAUUUUAGGGUAUGCCACUAUAUAAAUAACAUUAUACCCUCAAGGAUCAGCCUCCUUCUCACCCUUAAACAGUUUUCAUUAAACCCUAAUCUUCUUUGAGUAUUCUUGGAGCUAAGAAGGCCAUUAGAGAUCAUUUGGGUGUUGUGGACCCAUUUUCCAAGCAAGUGAAGAGCAGGCAAGGUGGUGGUUCAAAGGAGAGGUUGUAGAUAUGGGAUUAUUGCUUUAUUUCUGACCAUUUCAAGGUAUAAAGAUCUAAACUUGGUGGUUACUUCCUUAGAUAUCUUAGGUUGAUUUUUUGGACCAUUUUGGUCCAAAUGAUGAAGCUUUAUGGUUCAAAUCCGAUUCCUAGGCUUGGAGUUGCCACUCUCAGUGCUAAAUGAGUCCCUAAGGCAGAAAGUUGUCACCUUGAAUGUCUUAAUGAAUUCAUGCAUGAGAUCUACACAAUUCCAUGGAAGUUUGUUUCUAUAUACCAAGUUUGGGUUUAUUGGUGGGUUGGAAGUCACCAAGUAAUCGACUUUAUGGAUUAAGACGUUGAAAAGGACUUGGAUCUGUGAUUAUAGCUUCUGGAUUAGAGUAUUAAGCACUUAAUGGGAAAAGUGGCUUAACAGGGAAGUACGAUGGGCGUACAUGUAGGUACGCACAGCGUACACACCAUUCAGCCAGUACGCUUAGCGUACAAAGGAGUACGCACCACGUACUCAUCAGACAUGGGCUUGACGUAUUUUAGGCCUCGGUUUCGGCCAUGCUUUGGACUUCAGGUCAUUGGGCCUCAGUGGGUCAUCUUAAGUCAGAUAAUUUAGGCCAAGAAAAUGCUUGGGCUAAGGGAAAGGCUCAUUAAAGGGAUUGGGCUCAAUUUAGAAAAUUGGGCCAUUAGUGGGCUUGGGAAGCCUACCUAGUGUUGGGCCUUUUUGUAUUAUGGUUUUUGGCCUUUGAUAUGGACCAAGUUGGACUAGGGGUAAAAUGCUCAUUUUACCCUAAAUAGGAUUAUUGUUUUGGACUAAUUGUUAUUUUGGGUAAUGGUAGCUCAGGGAGUUGAGAGAUCAGCAGUUCGGGGAUCUGCUAGCUAGUAGCGAGAGGUUUAUUCGCAGGAUUUUAAAGUCAGCUUGUGAGGUGAGUUUUCUCCAGUAGGAACGGGUCUAAGGAACUAAUGUCGGUCCGUUUAUGUAUGUUUGUGUAUACCGGAUUUAGAUCCGAUGUCGGGUUUAGCUCGAUGUAGUUUUUAUGCUUCCGGAUUAUGUUCUGAUGCCGAGCGGGGCCCGAGGAAGGUUUACAUGUAUGUUCUGAACUACGGUUCGAUGUCGGGUGAUACCCGAGGAAGGGAUGCAUGUUUAGUUAUACUUGUUGUCUUUUUGAUACUUGUAUGUGCCUAAUAGGGAGAUGAGUGUGGGCGAGGGCCCGUAUCUCAUCACUAGCCGAGUAAGGACGGGGUUCCAUAUCUCAUUAGUAGCAGAGUAGGGGCAGGGCCCAAGAUAGGCGGGGCCUUGAGACUAGCAGUUAUUAUGAUUAUAUGUUUGCAUGUGUAUAGCGGGCGGCGCCCAGAGACAGGCGGGGCCUGGUAGAAACAGAUAUGUAUACCGAGCGGGGCUUAAUUCCAGGAGGGGCCUGAUGUCGGAUGUGUCCGAUGCUGGGGGAGGAGAGAUAGUGGGCUAGGCCCAAUGUUUGCAGUAUGUGAUUAUGUAUAUCGUAUGUGGUAGUUUGGGGAGACUCACUAAGCUUCGUGCUUACGGUUUUCAGUUUUGUUUUCAGGUACUUCCAGUUGCAAAGAGAAGAGCUCGGGAUGAC